rnacentral:lncRNA from 1 species
GGCGUAGGUGAGGCAGGGCCGGGGUCGCUGGCUUUGGACCGCGGCGUAGGAGGUGCCGACAGGAUCGGGGCAGCUGCGGGCGAGGUGAGGCCAGGACGGCUGGCUCAGGGCCACGUCGUAGGAGGUGUCAGUGGGUCGGGGUGGCCAUGGGUGAGGCAAGGCCAGUGCGGCGGGCUCAGGGUCAUGGCGUAGGAGGUGCUAGCGAGGUUAGGACAUCGGGAAGGAGGAUGCAUAGAGAGUGGAGAACAUCGGAAAGGAUGCAUCGGGGAGGGGGGUCAUUGUCGGUCAGGAGGAGGAGAGGAAAUUCAUGGGAAGG